rnacentral:rRNA from 1 species
UACGUAGGGUGCGAGCGUUGUCCGGAAUUAUUGGGCGUAAAGAGCUCGUAGGCGGUUUGUUGCGUCGGCUGUGAAAUCCCGAGGCUCAACCUCGGGUCUGCAGUCGAUACGAGCAAACUAGAGUGUUGCAGGGGAGACUGGAAUUCCUGGUGUAGCGGUGAAAUGCGCAGAUAUCAGGAGGAACACCGGUGGCGAAGGCGGGUCUCUGGGCAACAACUGACGCUGAGGAGCGAAAGCAUGGGGAGCGAACAGG